rnacentral:rRNA from 1 species
GCGGCAGGCCUAUACAUGCAAGUCGAACGGUAACAGGGAGAAGCUUGCUUCUCUGCUGACGAGUGGCGGACGGGUGAGUAAGAUCUGGGAAACUGCCCGACAGAGGGGGACAACAGAUGGAAACGUCUGCUGAUACCGCAUAUACCCUGAGGGGGAAAGCAGCGAUGCGCUGUCGGAUGUGCCCAGAGGGGAUUAGCCUGUAGGUGAGGUAAGAGCUCACCUAAGCUGCGAUCUCUAGCUGGUCUGAGAGGAUGACCAGCCACAUCGGGACUGAGACACGGCCCGGACUCCUACGGGAGGCAGCAGUAGGGAAUAUUGCACAAUGGGGGAAACCCUGAUGCAGCCAUGCCGCGUGUGUGAAGAAGGCCUUCGGGUUGUAAAGCACUUUCAGAGGGGAGGAAACAAUGACGUUACCCUCAGGAGAAGCACCGGCUGACUCCGUGCCAGCAGCCGCGGUAAUACGGAGGGUGCGAGCGUUAAUCGGAAUAACUGGGCGUAAAGGGCAUGCAGGCGGGACGGUAAGUAAGGUGUGAAAUACCGGGGCUUAACCUCGGGGCUGCAUUUUAAACUGCCGUUCUUGAGUAUUGCAGGGAGAGACGGAAUUCCUGGUGUAGCGGUGGAAUGCGUAGAGAUCAGGAAGAACACCGGAGGCGAAGGCGGUCUCUUGGGCAAAUACUGACGCUGAGAUGCGAAAGCGCGGGAAGCAAACAGGAUUAGAUACCCUGGUAGUCCGCGCCGUAAACGAUGUCGAUUGGGAGUCCGAACUUAGGUUUGGGUUCCGGAGCAAACGCGUUUAAUCGACCGCCUGGGGAG